rnacentral:tRNA from 1 species
GAUCGCAGGAUUACCGCGUCUGACUUCGGAUCAGAAGGUCGUGGGUUCGAUUUCCACUGUGGUCG